CUUUGGAAGCUCAAAGCCGCACUGGAAACACAGUCUUUCAGGAUGUCUGAAAGGGGCAAGUCUGUUUGUGUGGGGUAAGAAAUGCGGGGAGACAAACGGACAGUGGACAGAUUGCAGAGAGCUCUGUGUGCUGAGAGGAGGGUGCAGACCAGAUUUUUAAAUUGAGAAUGCAACAGUGAAGGAUUUCAAGCUUGGAGUGAGAGGGGAGACUACGAGCCUGCAGUGAUAAGGCAAAGCUGAAGAUUUCAGAGCCAAGGCCACACCCUACAGUUGCCAUGGAAUGGGGUGGCACAGUGGGCUUUGGAGAUAUACAGGGAGUCCACGGAGCCUCCCCUGCAAGCAUCAGUACAGAAGUCGAUGAUAAUCUGGAUGCAAGCCCAGGAGUGUGGAGUCCACUGACUCAGAAGACCUGCAUCUAAGGAAUUGGCUGUUCUUAUCCUUAAGAAUGAUGACUGUGUUUCCAAUUCCAGUAGACCCUUUGAUGCGUUCUGAAUAAAUAUUCCUUUUGGAAUUGAACUUCUAGAGCCCUUAACUUUGGCCCACUCUAGUUUUCUGUCUGUUUUUUUUUUUUUUAAUAUUUUUUUUUUGUAAAGAUAAGGUCUUGCUUUGUUGCCCAGGCUGGUCUUGAAUUCCUGGACUCAAGCAAUCCACCUGCCUUGGCCUCCCAAAGUGCUGGGAUUAUAGGUGUGAACCAUUGUGUCCGAUCGCUCUCUGGUUUUUCUAAUAUCAUGAUCCCAACUCUGUUCUUUAUGUAAAUUUCCCUGAUCACAUGGUUGUAUCUUGGCAUUUCAAAAUCCUUGACAGACUUUGUUUUGUUUGAAUUUUACAAUGAACUUACAUGACUAGGCACGGUCCCCAGUUCAGUUUUAUAGACAAGGAUUCUGUAGGUCAAGAAGUGAAACACAACCAAUAACAGCAGGUGACAGGAUUUAAACCUGGGUCACUUUACUUAUUUUUUUCUACUCUAUCAUUAUGUGAAUCUAUCCUACCUCUGCAAUGACAGAUGGCCCUAGAGCAAGAACACUUCCUUACAUCUGGUAUACAGUCAAAAAGUAAAAAUUCCACACAAAUAAAUAUGGAAAGAAUUUUUACCUGCUCCUAUAGCUUCCUUUCAGGGACCUGGCACCCACAAAUGUUGGGUAACAGAAAGAGGACUUAUGUAACUUAACUCAAAGCAGAAAAGUUACAGAGACUGUCUUAGCAUAAUAGAGCAUGGAGUGGUCAUGCUUGGAUGUGCAAACUGUCUGAUAGUCUUGCACAUGGCUUGACCCCGAAUUACACUAGUGGGGCAAGUUGCCUGGGGCAAAGCAAACUUAUUGGACCCAAAGCUCUCAUUUGAGAAUUUUGUUGACUAAAAGUUAUAAAAUAUCAGCAAUUUCAUAUGGUUCAGCCUAAUAUUUUAUCACUCUUCCUUUUUCUAUUCUAAAACAAUAAUUUUUAAUAACGUAAGCUAUACACAUACAUGCUUUAAACAUACAACACCCUGACUAUCAUAUAGUGGAUAUUUCAAGAAGUAAAUGUUCAGCAUGUCUUCA
rnacentral:lncRNA from 1 species